UGUGGGAGGGGGCUUGCCCCCGAUGACGGUGGAUCAGUCAGAGUGUUUGCAACUGAUACACCGCAAUCGGGGCAAGCCCCCUCCCACA
rnacentral:misc_RNA from 1 species